rfam:Myotis lucifugus cont2.60081, whole genome shotgun sequence.
GCCGUGGUGGCUCAGUGGUUGAGCGUCAACCUAUGAACCAGGAAGUCAGGGUUUGAUUCCCAGUCAGGGCU